rnacentral:lncRNA from 1 species
CGGAGAGCGUCAAGGUGUACGGUUCAGAUCGUCCUGCUAUUACCUUUAAAUAUAAUAAGCUUCUUCCUAAUGGAGUUUGGUAUGGAUUUAAUCACUGCCGUAAGAUCAUGUAGCUGAUCUGCCGUAGAAUUCCACUAUCCAUGAAAUUGAUGUAUUUAAAAGAAGAUUUAAUCUCUGUUUUGUUUCCUUCCAGAGAUUAAUUUAUCGCCAAAUAAAGGUAUUUUUUUAUUUCUUGCUGUUACAAUUUUAGCCUUUAGCUUUUCUUUGCAGAUGAACUUCAUCAGAUGCGUUGUAUCCAUAAAUGGGGAUUUUGAUUCUCCCUAUUAUAAUUUCCUUCCCCGCCCGCAUCUAUGUAAUAAAAAAAGAAAAUAUGUGUGUUUAUGUUUAGUAGGAAUAACCAAAUUUGAUAACAAUUUCCAGCUGACCCUAAUUUUAAGUUAGAUCCGCAUUUUCCUUUUUUCAUAGUAAUCAUUGUCAUCUUGGUCGUCGUUCGGUUGAGUUUGAUUUUCAACACGACACAUGACCUUCAAAGUAUAGUAAGAAUAAAAAUGAGUUGUUUUUCUAACUAAAAAAAUAGGCUCCGCAUAUAAAGCCCUUCCAUCCUAAUUCUUUUACUUGAUAUUUUUCAUUUAUAUUUGUCAAUACUCCUGCUGUUACGCUUGAAUUCAAAGAAAUAAAUUAUUAAAAAUUAAUAGAGAGGAAGAGAUAAAAGUUUAAAAUCUGAGAGAUACACCCGGGCCUCCUAAUCGGACUUUUAUGACCUAAAUGAAUUGGAAGAUGUUCUAUCACAUAGUAAAAAAAUUCCAGGUGGAAGAAUUAUGAGACUCCAAAUUGUUAGUGAUUAUACAAUGUAUAAUUAAUCAAUUAAAAAAAGAAAAUGUAGCUGUCUAUAUAUUUGGACCCUUGAUUAAUUAACUACGUGUGUGGGGAAUUCACUGACACAUGUCUAGUGAUUGGUGUUAAAAGAGUAAUCAUAUAUUGGGUGUGCAUUGGUGGUUCAAUUUUAUUUGUUAUAAGUUUGAUUUAUUAAUUUUAUGUUUAUAAAUAUGCUAAACUAAUAAGUAAUUAAAUCAAUAUGAUAUUUUUUUUUAUCAAUUUACGAUUUAUCAAUUUUAGUUCUUGACCUUCGAUUUUUGAUUUAACUAGUAAGAAAAUGCUUAUAAAAUAAAUAUGACUUCUUGAUUUGACGUGAUAAGAAAAUAAUGUAACUUUACCAAACGCUCAUAAAAUAGAAACAAUAAUAACUAACAUGAAAAGAGUUAUACAAGUGCAAUACAAAGAGAAAUUAAAAGGAAUAGAGUUCUUACUUUAGAUUUUAACGCUUGAUAUAAUAUGAAAUUGUGAACUCAAAAUAAUUGUGAAUGGAAACUUAGAGGGAACAGUAGUAACCAGUAAGGUACUUGAAUUAAUAUUUAAUAUUUAUGUAUAAAUUAAUAUAGUCUUAAUGAGUUAUCGAUUUACCCAAUAAUCUAAUACUAAAAAUUAAAAUCGAAUCGAUAACCCAAUAAUUUUUUUAAAAAAAAUCAUUAAAGCCCCAUUAACCCAAUAAUAAUAAAUCAAUAACAUUUUUUUAUUGAAUUUAUCGAUCAAUUUGAUUUAUGCACAACCCUAAUUAAUUAGGUAACAUCCCUUGAUUGGCAUAAAUUUAUAAAAAUAAAGAAUUUUAUUUGAAUUCAUGUGUGACUAUAAAUUAUUUUAUUAUGAUAAAAGAGAAAUUUUAAAAUUUAAAUUAUUUUCAAUUAGAAAGUAUAAUAUUUGGUGGGUUAGAAUUUCAUACUACACUCUUCAUCACUUUUUACUUGUCAAAUUUUGAUUCGACACACUUAUUAAGAAAAUAAUGAUUAAUAUAAGGGAAAAUUGUAUGAAAUAACAAACUAUUAAUUCAAAUUAAAUGUUAUAACCAUAGUUUAUUUUAAUUGUAAUUUGCAGCAAACAUCCCCUUUUUUUGUCAAAUAAUUCGGUAAACAAUUAGCCAUUUUCGAUAUACAAUUAGCCAUUUUAUACAUUCGGUAUAAAAUGUAUAAAAUGCGUUCGUGUUUGUAUAAAGUGAGAAAAAAGUGUAUAUACAAAUACAUAUAUUUUUGUCAUAUACACUUAUAAUAAUACAAAUACAGAUCUUAUUAUACAAAUUACAAUGUACAAAUGAAUUUAUACAAAAUUGAACAAUAUUUGUAUAAAAUUGAAUGUUUGUAGUGAAUUAUACAAAUCGAAAGCUUCAUAACAAACAUAAAAUUUGUUAUAGAGCGCAAUUAUGCAAACUAUAGCUAUAACAUACAAAUAUGAAUUUUAUGUUUGCUAUAUGUGAAAGUUGCUCAUAAUAUAACAAGUUUAAAAUUUUAUUCCUAUUAAUUGACAGAGUACCAAACAGAUUUAUUCACAUUUUUUCAAAGACAUUAACUCAAUGUUAAUAAAUUAAAGGUAUAAUAGCAAAAAAAUUGUUCUUUCUUGAUUUAUAAAAAAUGACAAAUAAAAUGAGAAGUUAGAUUAAAAAAUAUCUGACAAGUAAAUAAGAGUGGAGGGAGUACGAAAUUACAUGGUUAAGCAUAUAUAUAGUAGUUAUUAGUCAUCAUAGCUAUAAUUUUAGUUAGUUACCAUUCGCAAUCAACAUUCAACGAUAAUUAUGUGGGUUGGAGUUUCGAAUUUGUAUGAUUCAUACGUGUGUAUAAUUUGAAACUUGUAUAACUUUUGUAUAAUAUAAUUUUGUAUAACUGUUUAAAGUUUCGAUGUUUGUGUUUGUAUAAAUUUGUUAUUUUGAGUUUAUACAAAAACAACUCAAUUAUUCAAAUAUACCCGCGAAUUAUACAAACAAGACAAGUAAAAUUAUGGCUACAACACGUAAAUAUACAAACUAUAGCUAUAGAACAUAAUUAAAUUUACUAUAAUUGCUAUUUACGAAAUUUCCAAAUUACGUAUAGAGUUCAAAUCCAAUGGAGUAGUAGUUUAUAGAAUGUAGGACCAAAUUCAUGUAGCUGAUCUGCCGUAGAAUUCCACUAUCGAUGAAAUUUGUAUUUUAAUUGAUGUAUUUAAAAGAAGAUUUAAUCUCUGUUUUGUUUGCUUCCAGAGAUUAAUAUAUCGCCAAAUAAAGGUAUUUUUGAUUUCUCAGGUACCUUGCUGUUACAAUUUUAGCCUUUAGCUUUUCUUUGCAGAUGAACUUCAUCAGAUGUGUUGUAUCCAUAAAUGGGAUUUUGAUUCUCCCUACUAUAAUUUCCUUCACCGCAUCGACAACGUAUUGUUUUUUUUAUGUAGUAAGUAGGAAUAACCAAAUUUGAUAACAAUUUCCAGCUGACCCUGAUUUUAUGUUAGAUCCGCAUUUUCCUUUUUUCAUCUUGGUCGUCGUUCGGUUGAGUUUGUUUUUCAACACGACACAUGACCUUCAAAGUAGUAACUAGUAAGAAUAAAAAUGAGUUGUUUCUAACUAAAAUAGGCCCCAAGGCCUAGCUCAAGUGGCAAAAAGGUGGAGGAUUUGUGGCUUA